CUUGUCAUCACCAGGAACUUUCACCACAAGAUAACUCAGCAAUAAACUGGAUUUCACUUCAGAGCCUGAUCUCGCUCUCCAACUGGACCGACCUGCUCUCCCACCGCUCACCUCCCUUGGAUUUUGGAUUACCACAGACGGAGCGCAACCCAGUCCUGUCUACCCUCCCAAGAUCUUGGAUUUCAGUUCUACAACUGGCAGGUCACCACUGAAGAGGAGUAUCUUCCCAGACUCACACCAACCUCCCGUUUUACCUGAGGGCUUCCUGAUCUAGCAGAAAAACCUGUAGCUCCAUCCUUGCUCUGCUCUCCACAUGUUUGUCAUCAUCUCUGGAAGUGACCUCCCACAACACUGUGAUGUUAUAUAUAUAUAUUUUUUUUCAGGCUAAAUGAACCAAAGUACUCUGUUGUCAGACUGUGUAGUAAAGGUGAGUUGUUUUUAAUCAUCAUUACAACCUUUGAGUUUUAACAUUAACUAUGUUUUUGUUUCAUAGCUUAUUGCUACACGUGUGUUGCUGCUGCAAGCUUGGAGCUAGAUUACAUCAUGACAUCCUGAAGGAGGCUACUGAUUCUGGUCCUGUGACACUUGGUGGUGACGUGUGAGCUGAUUCACCUGGACACUCAGCAAAAUAUGGACUCUACACCAUGAGGCAGGCACACGUUAAUACUCUAUAAGAGCACAUAAGCAUGAGGAUGUCCUCACACACCUGUAACCUAUCAGCUCAUCUGGCAGAAUAGAGAGAGAAGAGACAACACCACAUCUCCUGUUCCUGGAAAGCCUUCAGCCAUCCUUCGAUGACUGAGAACCUCCAUCAGCUCUGUCUCCUGUCUGCCUACAAUUAUUAUAAGAAAUAUUGUGUUUGACAAGUUUUUUGUUCUGCCAAAUAUCUCAUUUUGAUUCCAGUUUUUAUAUUUUAAUGGACAUUUAUAGAUUACAUUAAUUGAAUUAUCACAUUGUUGCACGUUUAACUAGCUCUAUUGUUAACUAGCUCUCAUCAAUCAUAAAUUUCAAAAUAAAAGUACUGCAGUGAUGCAAUUUUAUAUAUAUGAAGCUUACGAUUAAUCCAACGGCUUAUUUACUCACAACAUUGCUCCAGAAGUGCAGCGGUGUAUUUCAUGGCUUUAUUUCUGGAGGAACAACAUCAUAUAUCACGUGAUUUCCUUCUUUUUGGCUAAAUGGCGGAUUGCAUAAACAAAAUGUGACCUGAAGUCUCGAGGGAUCUUGUAAUCUUGCGAGUCCAGCGAAGAGCACAGCGAGGAAGCCGUGCUGCUGCCAAGACUUUCCUGGUGUGAAAAGGACCGGUUUGAAGUUCGUGAGUACACCGUUUCACGUCGCUGAUGCUUCCAGUGUGAUACCGGUGUAACACAGAUCUGCAUCCUCACUCUCCACCUGAGUGCAAGUCCCUUUUAAAGGUGCUGCUUGUUUAUCCACGACGAGGCGUAUCCAGUGCAAGGCGGAUGGCUCCACUAAAGCGGCGCUAUCCAAGGUGCUGAUUUGCACAGGGCACAUCCUGAGAGGAGCUGUUCACGUUGCUGAAUGCUCAGCGCUAGGCUGGACUGCAAACAGGAGAAUGCAGCAGUAACUUAAAA